AAACCACCUCCCUGUCCUUUCAACUUCUCUCACUCUGUGCUUUUCUCCGGAUCUUGUAAAUAGAUUGUUUACUAAAUUCUUGGUGCUGGUUUUACGUAAGCUUGAAAUUGCUCUUAUGGGUGGAUGGUGUGGCUUCUUGUCGUGUGCUACCUUUGAGAAGUGCCCCUUACCUUUUAACGAAGGGCUCUCGCAUUCAUUACCUUACAAGUCCACCUGUUUUUUGUAAUUAAAGUGUAAAUAAAACACUAUGGUUUAUACUCAAAAUAAUAUUUAUCUCUUAACAGUCUUGAAAAGUUUGAUUACUUGGAAAACAAGCAUUUCUACUACAAAGCUUUGACCAGCAUGUCUCAUACAUUACAUUUUUCAUCCCUUUUUUGUAUACGAUGUUUUGGUUUCAGUAUGGAAAUUGGUAAUAAUGGUUAUCAUAGUGAGAGGUCACAAGGUAUCCCAAAUCCUAUGAUGACAAGCAAUGAGAGUAGAGGGAUCUGCUGUUGUGAAUCUAAAAGUGCAUCCCUACCUAUGAUACUAUGAACAGGUUCCCGCGGGCCUCGGCUCCUCCGAGGCACAUCGAC